UCAUUUACUCCCUCUCUGAGCUUCAGUCGCCCACCUCCCUCCUACAACAUGAGGGGCUGGAUCAGACAGGGGGCAGCAAGCUCCAGCGCCGCCUUCCUAGAUCAGUAAUCAGUGAACCCCUGCACCCUUGCACCCUUGCACCCUCCUGGGGCAGCCAUUUCUCAAGCUAUGUGGGGAAGGACUGCAGGGAGCAAUGUGGCCCUGGGUGCCCUGACUGAGAUGACCUUGACCAUUCAGGCAUCCUCUAGCAGACUUUCUGGAUGUGUUUCCAAGUCGUUGGGCCUUAAGCAUCUGCUGCUUCUCCACUUGGACAGACUUUUCCUGCCACCGGAAUAGCAGCUGCUGCUUUGCUUACUGCUGUACCACGCGCUAGAGCAGAAUGUGGUGCAGGGGACAUGCUCCAUGGAUGUUGACUGAGAAAUACCACUGGGCCAGAUGGGGCAGCUGCUGUGACACCACUGAUGUCCCCGGCAGGGAGCCGCUUUUUCCAGCAUCCCAGAAACUGCCUGAACUGUGCUGUAGGCAUGAAUCCCACUCCCUGACACCCUCCUCUGCUCCACUGCAUCCUAAAUUGCAACCCAGCCCUUUCUCAAUGGCUGUCUUGGUCUCCCAUUCCAGCACAGGCUCCACUUAUGCUGCCCUCCUGCUAACUGCUCCCAAUCCCCUUCCCAUUCCCUGGAUUCCAAAUGGAGCCAGGAAAUUAAUCUGCCCUUAAAAAGGCUGUCCUUGUUUUGAAUUUGAUUGGCAAUGCAAUAAUGGUCAUCAUGAAAAAUAUGGGAAAGUAAAAAAAACCUGGAGAAGAAAAUAAAAUCAUUUGCAAACCUGGUGUUCAGCUUAUGACUAGAUAUAAUUGGUUUCCUUCCAGUCUUGUAAGAAAUGGGUAUGUGCUCAUACAGAACAGCAACAACAAAGCUCUUCCAGUCUUGGUUUGGAUGGAGGUAGGAAGACUAUAGAUGCUACAGUCCAAAGAGAGCUCCAUGCAAAAAUUCCAGAGUAGGUGGUCAAGAACAGGUCUCCUGAUUCUUAAAUGCUUUACUCAUGUGAAAGAGGACUGAAAGGUGUUGAGAGGUGGAGACUGAGAAGGAAUUACAAAGAGGAAG
rnacentral:lncRNA from 10 species